CGCACGGGUGAGUAAUAUAUAGCUAACUUGCCCAUUACUAAGGGACAACAGUUGGAAACGACUGCUAAUACCUUAUACUCCGUAUCUAUAUAAGUAGAUACGGGAAAGUUUUUCGGUAAUGGAUAGGGCUAUAUCGUAUCAGCUAGUUGGUAAGGUAAUGGCUUACCAAGGCUAUGACGCGUAACUGGUCUGAGAGGAUGAUCAGUCACACUGGAACUGAGACACGGUCCAGACUCCUACGGGAGGCAGCAGUAGGGAAUAUUGCUCAAUGGGGGAAACCCUGAAGCAGCAACGCCGCGUGGAGGAUGACACUUUUCGGAGCGUAAACUCCUUUUCUUGGGAAAGAAUUAUGACGGUACCCAAGGAAUAAGCACCGGCUAACUCCGUGCCAGCAGCCGCGGUAAUACGGAGGGUGCAAGCGUUACUCGGAAUCACUGGGCGUAAAGGACGCGUAGGCGGAUUAUCAAGUCUCUUGUGAAAUCUAACGGCUUAACCGUUAACUGCCUGGGAAACUG
rnacentral:rRNA from 1 species